rnacentral:misc_RNA from 1 species
AACUUUCAACAACGGAUCUCUUGGCUCUCGCAUCGAUGAAGAACGCAGCGAAAUGCGAUAAGUAAUGUGAAUUGCAGAAGUCAGUGAAUCAUCGAAUCUUUGAACGCACCUUGCGCCCUUUGGCUAUUCCGAAGGGCAUGCCUGUUUGAGUAUCAUGAACACCUCAACUCUCAUGGUCCGCCAUGACGAGCUUGGACUUUGGGGGUCUUGCCGGCCUAGCAUCGGCUCCUCUCAAAUUGAUCAGCUUGCCAGUGUUUGGUGGCGUCACAGGUGUGAUAACUAUCUACGCUUGUGGUUUCUGCCAUGCAGCCUUCAGUGAUGGAGGUUCGCUGGAGCUCACAGAUGUCUCUCCUUGGGGAGGACAGCUUUUUGAACGUUUGAUCUCAAAUCAGGUAGGACUACCCGCUGAACUUAAGCAUAUCAAUAAGCGGAGGCU